rnacentral:piRNA from 1 species
UAGCUGGUUUAAAAGGCCAGUGCCUAUUAAU